AUUGAACGCUGGCGGCAGGCCUAACACAUGCAAGUCGAGCGGAGCGGCGGCCGGGGGAGUAAUGCCUAGGACUCUGCCUGGUAGUGGGGGAUAAAGUCCGGAAACGGGCGCUAAUACCGCAUACCAUCAGAUGACCCUAGGUCGGAUUAGCGAGUUGGUGGGUGAAAGGCCUACCAAGGCCACGGUCCGUAACUGGUCUAAGGGGAGGAUCAGUCACACUGGAACUGAGAAACGGUCCAGACUCCUACGGGAGGCAGCAGUGGGGAAUAUUGGACAAUGGGCGAAAGCCUGAUCCAGCAAUGCCGCGUGUGUGAAGAAGGUCUUCGGAUUGUAAAGCACUUUAAGUUGGGAGGCGUUACCAACAGAAUAAGCACCGGCUAACUUCGUGCCAGCCGCCGCGGUAAUUC
rnacentral:rRNA from 1 species